AUGCUUGAUUUCCAUGAUGUUCUUGAGGUUUGUGGUCUGGGCGACCUUGGUUUUGCAGGUCUGCCAUACACCUUUGAUAACCGGCGAGGUGGACGAGCAAAUGUCAAGGUUCGCCUUGACCGUGCUGUGGCUAAUAAUGCUUGGAGGGAUAUUUUCGCCCAUGCAAGGGUGGAGCAUUUGGUGGCGCCAAGCUCCGAUCACUUGGCCAUCCUCCUCAAGUGCGCGCUAGAGGAGCCGCGCAAACGGGAAGGCAGAAGGUGCAGACAGUACGAAGUUAUGUGGGAACGAGACCCCUCCCUCCCUGAGGUAAUUAUGAACACUUGGACUGAGUUGGGCUCUAUGUUAAAUCUUGGUGAUGUUGCUUCUGGACUAGGGAAUAUGAUGAAAAAACUGCAAGAGUGGAGUCGAAAAAAGUUUGGAAAUGUCAUCCGUGAAAUUAACAAGUCCCGCUCUUGUCUCGAGGAGCUUAUGUCUAUGAAUGCAGAUAGAAAGGACAUACGAGAGGCGACUAACAAG
rnacentral:rRNA from 1 species